UACGAGGGGGGCAAAUGUUGUUCGGAAUCACUGGGCGUAAAGGGAGCGUAGGCGGGUUUCUAAGUCAGGUGUUUAAUCCCGGGGCCCAACCCCGGACAGGCACUUGAAACUGGGAAUCUUGAAUAGUGGAGAGGUCAGUGAAAUUGGGGGUGUAGCGGUGGAAUGCGUAGAGAUCCCCAAGAACACCAGUUGCGAAGGCGGCUGACUGGACACAUAUUGACGCUGAGGCUCGAAAGCAUGGGGAGCAAACAGG
rnacentral:rRNA from 1 species